rnacentral:rRNA from 1 species
GUGAACGCUGGCGGCGUGCUUAACACAUGCAAGUCGAACGAGAACGGAUUAUAGCUUGCUAUAAUUGUCAGCUAAGUGGCGCACGGGUGAGUAAUAUAUAGAUAACCUGCCCUCUAGAAAGGAAUAACAGUUGGAAACGACUGCUAAUGCCCUAUAUGCCUUUAAUACAUAAGUAUGCAAGGGAAACGCUUUAGUGCUAGAGGAUGGGUCUGUAUGGUAUCAGCUUGUUGGUGAGGUAAUGGCUCACCAAGGCUAUGACGCCUAACUGGUUUGAGAGGAUGAUCAGUCACACUGGAACUGAGACACGGUCCAGACUCCUACGGGAGGCAGCAGUGGGGAAUAUUGCACAAUGGACGAAAGUCUGAUGCAGCAACGCCGCGUGGAGGAUGACACAUUUCGGUGCGUAAACUCCUUUUAUAUAGGAAGAUAAUGACGGUACUAUAUGAAUAAGCACCGGCUAACUCCGUG